rnacentral:rRNA from 1 species
AUGCACGCUGGCGGCGUGCCUAAUACAUGCAAGUCGAGCGAACAGACGAGGAGCUUGCUCCUCUGACGUUAGCGGCGGACGGGUGAGUAACACGUGGAUAACCUACCUAUAAGACUGGGAUAACUUCGGGAAACCGGAGCUAAUACCGGAUAAUAUAUUGAACCGCAUGGUUCAAUAGUGAAAGACGGUUUUGCUGUCACUUAUAGAUGGAUCCGCGCCGCAUUAGCUAGUUGGUAAGGUAACGGCUUACCAAGGCAACGAUGCGUAGCCGACCUGAGAGGGUGAUCGGCCACACUGGGACUGAGACACGGUCCAGACUCCUACGGGAGGCAGCAGUAGGGAAUCUUCCGCAAUGGGCGAAAGCCUGACGGAGCAACGCCGCGUGAGUGAUGAAGGUCUUCGGAUCGUAAAACUCUGUUAUUAGGGAAGAACAAAUGUGUAAGUAACUAUGCACGUCUUGACGGUACCUAAUCAGAAAGCCACGGCUAACUACGUG